GGGUUGUGAGGUUAAGCGACUAAGCGUACACGGUGGAUGCCCUGGCAGUCAGAGGCGAUGAAGGGCGUGCUAAUCUGCGAUAAGCGCCGGUAAGGUGAUAUGAACCGUUAUAACCGGCGAUACCCGAAUGGGGAAACCCAGUGUGACUCGUCACACUAUCAUUAACUGAAUCCAUAGGUUAAUGAGGCGAACCGGGGGAACUGAAACAUCUAAGUACCCCGAGGAAAAGAAAUCAACCGAGAUUCCCCCAGUAGCGGCGAGCGAACGGGGAGGAGCCCAGAGCCUGAAUCAGCAUGUGUGUUAGUGGAAGCGUCUGGAAAGGCGCGCGAUACAGGGUGACAGCCCCGUACACAAAAGCGCAUGUGCUGUGAGCUCGAUGAGUAGGGCGGGACACGUGGUAUCCUGUCUGAAUAUGGGGGGACCAUCCUCCAAGGCUAAAUACUCCUGACUGACCGAUAGUGAACCAGUACCGUGAGGGAAAGGCGAAAAGAACCCCGGGAGGGGAGUGAAAAAGAACCUGAAACCGUGUACGUACAAGCAGUGGGAGCCCCACCACCAAAGCAUUCUCUGGUGUUGAAGGCCCUGCAAAGCAGCAUCGCGGUGGCGGAGCGUCGUUUGCGACGCCCAACACACAAAACAAGCGGUGAAUGCUUUGGGGUGGGGUGACUGCGUACCUUUUGUAUAAUGGGUCAGCGACUUAUAUUCUGUAGCAAGGUUAACCGAAUAGGGGAGCCGGAGGGAAACCGAGUCUUAAUUGGGCGUUAAGUUGCAGGGUAUAGACCCGAAACCCGGUGAUCUAGCCAUGGGCAGGUUGAAGGUUGGGUAACACUAACUGGAGGACCGAACCGACUAAUGUUGAAAAAUUAGCGGAUGACCUGUGGCUGGGGGUGAAAGGCCAAUCAAACCGGGAGAUAGCUGGUUCUCCCCGAAAGCUAUUUAGGUAGCGCCUCGUGAAUUCAUCUCCGGGGGUAGAGCACUGUUUCGGCUAGGGGGCCAUCCCGGCUUACCAACCCGAUGCAAACUGCGAAUACCGGAGAAUGUUAUCACGGGAGACACACGGCGGGUGCUAACGUCCGUCGUGAAGAGGGAAACAACCCAGACCGCCAGCUAAGGUCCCAAAGUCAUGGUUAAGUGGGAAACGAUGUGGGAAGGCCCAGACAGCCAGGAUGUUGGCUUAGAAGCAGCCAUCAUUUAAAGAAAGCGUAAUAGCUCACUGGUCGAGUCGGCCUGCGCGGAAGAUGUAACGGGGCUAAACCAUGCACCGAAGCUGCGGCAGCGACGCUGAUGCGUUGUUGGGUAGGGGAGCGUUCUGUAAGCCUGCGAAGGUGACCUGUGAGGGUUGCUGGAGGUAUCAGAAGUGCGAAUGCUGACAUAAGUAACGAUAAAGCGGGUGAAAAGCCCGCUCGCCGGAAGACCAAGGGUUCCUGUCCAACGUUAAUCGGGGCAGGGUGAGUCGACCCCUAAGGCGAGGCCGAAAGGCGUAGUCGAUGGGAAACGGGUUAAUAUUCCCGUACUUGGUGUUACUGCGAAGGGGGACGGAGAAGGCUAUGUUGGCCGGGCGACGGUUGUCCCGGUUUAAGCGUGUAGGUGUGUGUUCCAGGUAAAUCCGGUUCACUUUAACACUGAGGCGUGAUGACGAGGCACUACGGUGCUGAAGCAACAAAUGCCCUGCUUCCAGGAAAAGCCUCUAAGCAUCAGGUAACAUCAAAUCGUACCCCAAACCGACACAGGUGGUCAGGUAGAGAAUACCAAGGCGCUUGAGAGAACUCGGGUGAAGGAACUAGGCAAAAUGGUGCCGUAACUUCGGGAGAAGGCACGCUGACACGUAGGUGAAGUGAUUUACUCACGGAGCUGAAGUCAGUCGAAGAUACCAGCUGGCUGCAACUGUUUAUUAAAAACACAGCACUGUGCAAACACGAAAGUGGACGUAUACGGUGUGACGCCUGCCCGGUGCCGGAAGGUUAAUUGAUGGGGUCAGCGCAAGCGAAGCUCCUGAUCGAAGCCCCGGUAAACGGCGGCCGUAACUAUAACGGUCCUAAGGUAGCGAAAUUCCUUGUCGGGUAAGUUCCGACCUGCACGAAUGGCGUAAUGAUGGCCAGGCUGUCUCCACCCGAGACUCAGUGAAAUUGAACUCGCUGUGAAGAUGCAGUGUACCCGCGGCAAGACGGAAAGACCCCGUGAACCUUUACUAUAGCUUGACACUGAACAUUGAGCCUUGAUGUGUAGGAUAGGUGGGAGGCUUUGAAGUGUGGACGCCAGUCUGCAUGGAGCCGACCUUGAAAUACCACCCUUUAAUGUUUGAUGUUCUAACGUGGACCCGUAAUCCGGGUUGCGGACAGUGUCUGGUGGGUAGUUUGACUGGGGCGGUCUCCUCCUAAAGAGUAACGGAGGAGCACGAAGGUUGGCUAAUCCUGGUCGGACAUCAGGAGGUUAGUGCAAUGGCAUAAGCCAGCUUGACUGCGAGCGUGACGGCGCGAGCAGGUGCGAAAGCAGGUCAUAGUGAUCCGGUGGUUCUGAAUGGAAGGGCCAUCGCUCAACGGAUAAAAGGUACUCCGGGGAUAACAGGCUGAUACCGCCCAAGAGUUCAUAUCGACGGCGGUGUUUGGCACCUCGAUGUCGGCUCAUCACAUCCUGGGGCUGAAGUAGGUCCCAAGGGUAUGGCUGUUCGCCAUUUAAAGUGGUACGCGAGCUGGGUUUAGAACGUCGUGAGACAGUUCGGUCCCUAUCUGCCGUGGGCGCUGGAGAACUGAGGGGGGCUGCUCCUAGUACGAGAGGACCGGAGUGGACGCAUCACUGGUGUUCGGGUUGUCAUGCCAAUGGCACUGCCCGGUAGCUAAAUGCGGAAGAGAUAAGUGCUGAAAGCAUCUAAGCACGAAACUUGCCCCGAGAUGAGUUCUCCCUGAGACUUUAGGUCUCCUGAAGGAACGUUGAAGACGACGACGUUGAUAGGCCGGGUGUGUAAGCGCAGCGAUGCGUUGAGCUAACCGGUACUAAUGAACCGUGAGGCUUAACCUUACAACGCCGAAG
rnacentral:rRNA from 2 species